rnacentral:lncRNA from 1 species
GAGCUCGCCCAAUCUCCCAGCCUCCUGCUAGCGGUGUACCACAGCGACGUGCACCCCACGCAGCCCGCCUUUUAUGGCCUGGCGCUUGAGCUAGGAGAGCCGAUGACCUUGCCACAGCCGUCUCACAGAAAGCGUGUGGGAGGCAGGCACGUGCCGGGGCAGAUCCAGGCAGAUGAGCUGCUGCCUCAGCAGCUGAGUGCAUGGGUGAGUGUGUGUGUGUGUGUGUGUGUGUGUGUGUGUGUGUGUGUGUGUGUGUGUGUGUGUGUGUGUGUGUGUGUGUGUGUGUGCGCGCG